UACGUAGGGCGCAAGCGUUAUCCGGAAUUAUUGGGCGUAAAGAGCUCGUAGGCGGUUUGUCGCGUCUGCCGUGAAAGUCCGGGGCUCAACUCCGGAUCUGCGGUGGGUACGGGCAGACUAGAGUGAUGUAGGGGAGACUGGAAUUCCUGGUGUAGCGGUGAAAUGCGCAGAUAUCAGGAGGAACACCGAUGGCGAAGGCAGGUCUCUGGGCAUGACCUGACGCUGAGGAGCGAAAGUGUGGGGAGCGAACAGG
rnacentral:rRNA from 1 species